ACCAGACUCCUACGGGAGGCAGCAGUGAGGAAUAUUGGUCAAUGGGCGGAAGCCUGAACCAGCCAAGUCGCGUGAGGGAAGAAGGCCCUGCGGGUCGCAGACCUCUUUGGACGGGGAGCAAGGCCGCCGACGUGUCGGCGGAAGGAGAGUACCCGUAGAACAAGCAUCGGCUAACUCCGUGCCAGCAGCCGCGGUAAUACGGAGGAUGCGAGCGUUAUCCGGAUUUAUUGGGUUUAAAGGGUGCGCAGGCGGCCUGUUAAGUCAGCGGUAAAAGCCCGGGGCUCAACCCCGGCGAACCGUUGAAACUGGCGGGCUGGAGUUGGAGAGAAGUACGCGGAAUGCGCGGUGUAGCGGUGAAAUGCUUAGAGAUUAGGAAGAACACCAGUGGCGAAGGCGAUUCUCUGGACUGUAACUGACGCUGAGGCUCGAAAGCGUGGGGAGCAAACAGGAUUAGAUACCCGUGUACG
rnacentral:rRNA from 1 species